GAGAGAAGAGAGAGGGAGAGAGAAGGAGAGGGAGAGAGAAGGAGAGGAGAGAGAUGAAAGGGGGAGGAGAGAGGGGGAGAGUAGAAGGAGAGAGAGGGAGAGGAGAGUGAGAGAGAAGGAGAGGGGGAGAGAGAGAGAGAGAGGAGGGAGAGAGAAGGAGAGAGGGGGAGAUGAUGCCACUUUAGAUGACUACCCAUAAUAGCUAGAUCUGUACUUAAACUAUAGAUCUGUCUCCAUCUGUACAUAAACUAUAGAUCUGUCUAGAUCUGUACAUAAACUAUAGAUCUGUCUCGUUUAGGACUAGGUCCAGUUGAAAGACGCCUAAAAUAACCAUUUGAAGGAAUUUGUCCGAAAAUGGUACCCUAUUCCAUUUAUAGUGCACUACUUUUAGCUACAACCCUAUGGUCCCUGGUCAAAAGUAGUGCACUAUAUAGGGAAUAGGGUUCCAUUUGGAACACAGGUAAUGUCAGAACCACAAAGAGAAGCCCAGAGUGCUGACUCACAUCCUCCUGUUCUCCCGCUCUCUUUCAAUCUCCUGUUCCAUCAGCUGCAUCUAGAGAUACAAUAUCAUCUCUGAGAUCAAUGUUCUCUCUCUCUCACACACACGUCAGAGGUGAGCCUGUCUGGUCUGUCUUGAUGGAUUAACAAUUUUAUGAGAUCUGGCUAUAGGUCUGAAUGAGGUAUGGCUAUAGGUCUGAAUGAGGUAUGGCUAUAGGUCUGAAUGAGGUAUGGCUAUAGGUCUGAAUGAGAUCUGGCUAUAGGUCUGAAUGAGGUAUGGCUAUAGGUCUGAAUGAGGUAUGGCUAUAGGUCUGAAUGAGGUAUGGUUAUAGGUCUGAAUGAGGUAUGGCUAUAGGUCUGAAUGAGGUAUGGUUAUAGGUCUGAAUGAGGUAUGGCUAUAGGUCUGAAUGAAGUAUGGUUAUAGGUCUGAAUGAGGUAUGGCUAUAGGUCUGAAUGAGAUCUGGUUAUAGGUCUGAAUGAGGUAUGGCUAUAGGUCUGAAUGAGGUAUGGCUAUAGGUCUGAAUGAGGUAUGGUUAUAGGUCUGAAUGAGGUAUGGCUAUAGGUCUGAAUGAGAUCUGGUUAUAGGUCUGAAUGAGGUAUGGCUAUAGGUCUGAAUGAGGUAUGGUUAUAGGUCUGAAUGAGAUCUGGCUAUAGGUCUGAAUGAGGUAUGGCUAUAGGUCUGAAUGAGGUAUGGCUAUAGGUCUGAAUGAGGUAUGGCUAUAGGUCUGAAUGAGGUAUGGCUAUAGGUCUGAAUGAGGUAUGGCUAUAGGUCUGAAUGAGGUAUGGUUAUAGGUCUGAAUGAGGUAU